GCGAUGCGGCUGGCAGGCUAACACAUGCAGUCGAGCGGAUGAGAAGAGCUUGCUCUUCGAUUCAGCGGCGGACGGGUGAGUAAUGCCUAGGAAUCUGCCUGGUAGUGGGGGACAACGUUUCGAAAGGAACGCUAAUACCGCAUACGUCCUACGGGAGAAAGCAGGGGACCUUCGGGCCUUGCGCUAUCAGAUGAGCCUAGGUCGGAUUAGCUAGUUGGUGGGGUAAUGGCUCACCAAGGCGACGAUCCGUAACUGGUCUGAGAGGAUGAUCAGUCACACUGGGACUGAGACACGGUCCAGACUCCUACGGGAGGCAGCAGUGGGGAAUAUUGGACAAUGGGCGAAAGCCUGAUCCAGCCAUGCCGCGUGUGUGAAGAAGGUCUUCGGAUUGUAAAGCACUUUAAGUUGGGAGGAAGGGCAGUAAGCGAAUACCUUGCUGU
rnacentral:rRNA from 1 species